rnacentral:rRNA from 1 species
UUUACCAAAAACAUAGCCCUUGAAAUAAUCAAAGGUGUGACCUGCCCAAUGGCCUUCAAUUUAAGAAAAAUAAAACUUUUCUAAAAAAGCUUAAAGGACGCAGUAUCUUGACUGUGGUAAUGUAGCAUAAUCACUCGCCACUUAAUUGGUGGAUAGUAUGAAUGGUUAAACGAAUAUUACACUGUCUCUAAAAGAAAUCCCAUGAAAUUAAAAUAAUAGUAAAGAUGCUAUUUAAAGCUGUAAGACGAAAAGACCCUAUAGAGCUUAACUACAUUAUGUGUUUUAAAAAAUUAAAUAUAAACUUAAAAAAACACACAUCUUGGUAGUUUAGUUGGGGCGACUGUCUUUUAAAAUAAACAAAGACAAGCAAUGUUAAUAAUAAACUUAUUGUAUAAUAUAUAAAUUUAACAAUUAUAAAAAUAGGCUAUAAUGACCCAUUAGAUUUUAAUAAAAAAACUAAUGAUUAAUAAAUAAAAGCUACCUUAGGGAUAACAGGAUAAUUUUGUUUUAGAGAUCUAAUCGAAGACAAAGUUUGUCACCUCUAUGUUGAAUUAAGAUAUCCUGAUAGUGCAGAAG